UACGGAGGGUGCAAGCGUUAUCCGGAUUCACUGGGUUUAAAGGGUGCGUAGGCGGGUUGGUAAGUCCGUGGUGAAAUCUCCAAGCUUAACUUGGAAACUGCCGUGGAUACUAUCAAUCUUGAAUAUCGUGGAGGUAAGCGGAAUAUGUCAUGUAGCGGUGAAAUGCUUAGAUAUGACAUGGAACACCAAUUGCGUAGGCAGCUUACUACACGAUCAUUGACGCUGAGGCACGAAAGCGUGGGGAGCAAACAGG
rnacentral:rRNA from 1 species